ACUCCUACGGGAGGCAGCAGUGGGGAAUUUUGGACAAUGGGCGAAAGCCUGAUCCAGCAAUGCCGCGUGCAGGAUGAAGGCCUUCGGGUUGUAAACUGCUUUUGUACGGAACGAAAAAGCUCCUUCUAAUACAGGGGGCCCAUGACGGUACCGUAAGAAUAAGCACCGGCUAACUACGUGCCAGCAGCCGCGGUAAUACGUAGGGUGCGAGCGUUAAUCGGAAUUACUGGGCGUAAAGCGUGCGCAGGCGGUUAUGUAAGACAGAUGUGAAAUCCCCGGGCUCAACCUGGGAACUGCAUUUGUGACUGCAUGGCUAGAGUACGGUAGAGGGGGAUGGAAUUCCGCGUGUAGCAGUGAAAUGCGUAGAUAUGCGGAGGAACACCGAUGGCGAAGGCAAUCCCCUGGACCUGUACUGACGCUCAUGCACGAAAGCGUGGGGAGCAAACAGGAUUAGAAACCCCUGUAGUCCCAU
rnacentral:rRNA from 1 species